rnacentral:rRNA from 1 species
UGGUGGAGUGAUUUGUCUGGUUAAUUCCGAUAACGAACGAGACCUUAACCUGCUAAAUAGCCCGGCCGACUUUGGUUAGCCGCUGGCUUCUUAGAGGGACUAUUAGCGUUUAGCUAAUGGAAGUUUGAGGCAAUAACA